rnacentral:rRNA from 1 species
GAUGAACGCUGGCGGCGUGCCUAAUACAUGCAAGUCGAGCGAACGGACGAGGAGCUUGCCUCUCUGACGUUAGCGGCGGGCGGGUGAGUAACACGUGGAUAACCUACCUAUAAGACUGGGAUAACUUCGGGAAACCGGAGCUAAUACCGGAUAAUAUAUUGAACCGCAUGGUUCAUUAGUGAAAGACGGUUUUGCUGUCACUUAUAGAUGGAUCCGCGCCGCAUUAGCUAGUUGGUAAGGUAACGGCUUACCAAGGCGACGAUGCGUAGCCGACCUGAGAGGGUGAUCAGCCACACUGGAACUGAGACACGGUCCAGACUCCUACGGGAGGCAGCAGUAGGGAAUCUUCCGCAAUGGGCGAAAGCCUGACGGAGCAACGCCGCGUGAGUGAUGAAGGUCUUCGGAUCGUAAAGCUCUGUUAUUAGGGAAGAACAAAUGUGUAAGUAACUAUGCACGUCUUGACGGUACCUAAACAGAAAGCCACGGCUAACUACGUG